CGAACGGGUGAGUAAUGCGUGACCAACCUGCCCCAUGCUCCAGAAUAGCUCUUGGAAACGGGUGGUAAUGCUGGAUGCUCCAACUUGACGCAUGUCUUGUUGGGAAAGUGUUUAGUGGCAUGGGAUGGGGUCGCGUCCUAUCAGCUUGUAGGCGGGGUAAUGGCCCACCUAGGCUUCGACGGGUAGCCGGCCUGAGAGGGCGGACGGCCACAUUGGGACUGAGAUACGUCCCAGACUCCUACGGGAGGAGCAGCG
rnacentral:rRNA from 1 species